rnacentral:rRNA from 1 species
UACGUAGGUGGCAAGCGUUGUCCGGAUUUACUGGGCGUAAAGAGCGCGCAGGUGGUCGUUCAAGUCGCGUGUGAAAGCCCCCGGCUCAACUGGGGGGGGUCACGCGAUACUGAUCGACUCGAAGGCAGGAGAGGGUAGUGGAAUUCCCGGUGUAGUGGUGAAAUGCGUAGAUAUCGGGAGGAACACCAGUGGCGAAGGCGACUACCUGGCCUGUUUCUUGACGCUGAGGCGCGAAAGCUAGGGGAGCAAACGGG